UAUUUUACCGGAUAGUGUUUCUUUUCGUGAGCAAUCACCACUAUCCAGCUCUUCUUGUCGACAGGGAGAUAAAUCACUGACAUCCGAUGGUCAUUCAUCGAAGGUGGCUGUGAAAAUUCCGAACCGUUGGAAAAACAUGAAUCAUCGCCAACACAUCAAUGACGGGGUUUUUCGAUUGCGGCCCACGAUGCCAUACGAUUGGAGCAUGAUAGUGGCACCGCAGGGCAAACAACGGUCGUAUGACGCAUCCUAUCGCGGAAUUCUGGUGAAUCGUCCUGUUAUCGCAGCAGGCUCUAUUUGUCGCAAACAGCAAACCUUUCUCGCCUACUACAAUUCGCGAUUGAUUGUCGCGUCAGCCUCCCCACUGCUUUACCAGUGAUAUUGCUAGUGAAUGUCGUCAGCUAUCCACUGUAUUGUCGUCGUCAAACGAGAGCAAACAAUAAAUACAGCUUGCUGUUUGCUUC